rnacentral:rRNA from 1 species
AGAGUUUGAUCCUGGCUCAGAUUGAACGCUGGCGGCAUGCCUUACACAUGCAAGUCGAACGGUAACAGGUCUUCGGAUGCUGACGAGUGGCGAACGGGUGAGUAACACAUCGGAACGUGCCCGAUCGUGGGGGAUAACGGAGCGAAAGCUUUGCUAAUACCGCAUACGAUCUACGGAUGAAAGCAGGGGACCCUUGGGCCUUGCGCGGACGGAGCGGCCGAUGGCAGAUUAGGUAGUUGGUGGGAUAAAAGCUUACCAAGCCGACGAUCUGUAGCUGGUCUGAGAGGACGACCAGCCACACUGGGACUGAGACACGGCCCAGACUCCUACGGGAGGCAGCAGUGGGGAAUUUUGGACAAUGGGCGCAAGCCUGAUCCAGCCAUGCCGCGUGCAGGAUGAAGGCCUUCGGGUUGUAAACUGCUUUUGUACGGAACGAAAUCGCAUCAGUUAAUACCUGGUGUGGAUGACAGUACCGGAAUAAGAAGCACCGGCUAACUACGUGCCAGCAGCCGCGGUAAUA